GGCCACGUAGCUCAGAGGUCAGAGCGACCGAUCCCAGCAUCGGCGGUCGCAGGUUCGAAUCCUGUCGUGGCCA